ACGGGUGAGUAAUAUAUCGGAACGUACCCUGGAGUGGGGGAUAACGUAGCGAAAGUUACGCUAAUACCGCAUACGAUCUAAGGAUGAAAGUGGGGGAUUCGCAAGAACCUCAUGCUCCUGGAGCGGCCGAUAUCUGAUUAGCUAGUUGGUAGGGUAAAAGCCUACCAAGGCAUCGAUCAGUAGCUGGUCUGAGAGGACGACCAGCCACACUGGAACUGAGACACGGUCCAGACUCCUACGGGAGGCAGCAGUGGGGAAUUUUGGACAAUGGGCGCAAGCCUGAUCCAGCAAUGCUGCGUGAGUGAAGAAGGCCUUCGGGUUGUAAAGCUCUUUUGUCAGGGAAGAAACGGAUUUUUCUAAUACAGAGAUCUAAUGACGGUACCUGAAGAAUAAGCACCGGCUAACUACGUGCCAGCAGCCGCGGUAAUACGUAGGGUGCAAGCGUUAAUCGGAAUUACUGGGCGUAAAGCGUGCGCAGGCGGUUUUGUAAGACUGUCGUGAAAUCCCCGGGCUCAACCUGGGAAUGGCGAUGGUGACUGCAAGGCUAGAGUUUGGCAGAGGGGGGUAGAAUUCCACGUGUAGCAGU
rnacentral:rRNA from 1 species